GAGAAUCUGCCCUUCAGUGAAGAAUACCGUCGAGAAAUUGACGUUAAUGCUGCAUACGUCCCUUCGGGGAGAAAAGUGGCCUCUUUGCUACUGCUGAAGGAUGAGCUUGCGUACUAUUAGCUAGUUGGUGGGGUAAAGGCCUACCAAGGCGAUGAUGGUUAACCGGCCUGAGAGGGUGUUCGGUCACACUGGAACUGAGAUACGGUCCAGACUCCUACGGGAGGCAGCAGUGAGGAAUAUUGCGCAAUGGGCGAAAGCCUGACGCAGCGACGCCGCGUGGAGGAUGAAGGUCUUCGGAUUGUAAACUUCUGUUAAGUGGGAAGAAAAAGCUGUUUUUAAUAGAGGCAGCUAAUGACGGUACCAUUAAAGAAAGCACCGGCUAAACUCGUGCCAGCAGCCGCGGUAAUACAAGUGGUGCAAGCGUUAUUCGGAAUCAUUGGGCGUACAGGGUGUGUAGGCGGUAUGUUAAGUCUGUUGUUAAAGCCUCCGGCCUAACCGGAGACAGGCAAUGGAAACUGGCGUACUAGAGGGUGGAAGAGAGAAGCGGAAUUCUCGGUGUAGCGGUAAAAUGCGUAGAUAUCGAGAGGAACACCGAUGGCGAAGGCAGCUUCUUGGUCCAUUCCUGACGCUGAAACACGAAAGCGUGGGUAGCAAACAGGAUUAGAUACCCUGGUAGUCCACGCUGUAAACGAUGAUCACUAGACGUUGGUUUUGUUU
rnacentral:rRNA from 1 species